AGAAAAUUAGUUUAAUUAAAACAUACGCUUUUCAAGUGUAAGAUGUACUCUGGGAGUGUGUUUUCUA
rnacentral:tRNA from 1 species